CGGGGUUUGGCGCAGCUUGGUAGCGCGUCUGCAUGGGGUGCAGAAGGUCACAGGUUCAAAUCCUGUAACCCCGACCA
rnacentral:tRNA from 2 species